UACAGAGGGGGCAAGCGUUGCUCGGAAUUACUGGGCGUAAAGGGCGCGUAGGCGGCCUGUUAAGUCGAACGUGAAAUCCCCGGGCUCAACCCGGGAACUGCGUCCGAUACUGGCAGGCUUGAAUCCGGGAGAGGGACGCGGAAUUCCAGGUGUAGCGGUGAAAUGCGUAGAUAUCUGGAGGAACACCGGUGGCGAAGGCGGCAUCCUGGACCGGCAUUGACGCUGAGGCGCGAAAGCCAGGGGAGCAAACGGG
rnacentral:rRNA from 1 species